GUCUUCAACGAGGAAUUCCUAGU
rnacentral:siRNA from 1 species